rnacentral:miRNA from 1 species
AGUUACAGAGGGCUGUAAGCCACCUUGUGGGUGUUGGGAACAGGAGCUGAGUCCUCUGUAAGUGCUCUUAACUGCUGAGUC